rnacentral:lncRNA from 1 species
CUAUCCAACUGCCUCCUAAAGACAUCCACGGAAACAGUGAUUCAUCCCGACACACUGGUGAACUCUUGGAGCAGGGAGCCUCCAUAUAAAUGACAGGCAGUGACAGGAAGAUCUCACUCUUGAUCAAUGACAAGGUUUCUGGCUGCCCAG